rnacentral:rRNA from 2 species
UAUCAAGUCUCUUGUGAAAUCUAAUGGCUUAACCAUUAAACUGCUUGGGAAACUGAUAGUCUAGAGUGAGGGAGAGGCAGAUGGAAUUGGUGGUGUAGGGGUAAAAUCCGUAGAUAUCACCAAGAAUACCCAUUGCGAAGGCGAUCUGCUGGAACUCAACUGACGCUAAGGCGCGAAAGCGUGGGGAGCAAACAGGAUUAGAUACCCUGGUAGUCCACGCCCUAAACGAUGUACACUAGUUGUUGGGGUGCUAGUCAUCUCAGUAAUGCAGCUAACGCAUUAAGUGUACCGCCUGGGGAGUACGGUCGCAAGAUUAAAACUCAAAGGAAUAGACGGGGACCCGCACAAGCGGUGGAGCAUGUGGUUUAAUUCGAAGAUACGCGAAGAACCUUACCUGGGCUUGAUAUCCUAAGAACCUUUUAGAGAUAAGAGGGUGCUAGCUUGCUAGAACUUAGAGACAGGUGCUGCACGGCUGUCGUCAGCUCGUGUCGUGAGAUGUUGGGUUAAGUCCCGCAACGAGCGCAACCCACGUAUUUAGUUGCUAACGGUUCGGCCGAGCACUCUAAAUAGACUGCCUUCGUAAGGAGGAGGAAGGUGUGGACGACGUCAAGUCAUCAUGGCCCUUAUGCCCAGGGCGACACACGUGCUACAAUGGCAUAUACAAUGAGACGCAAUACCGCGAGGUGGAGCAAAUCUAUAAAAUAUGUCCCAGUUCGGAUUGUUCUCUGCAACUCGAGAGCAUGAAGCCGGAAUCGCUAGUAAUCGUAGAUCAGCCAUGCUACGGUGAAUACGUUCCCGGGUCUUGUACUCACCGCCCGUCACACCAUGGGAGUUGAUUUCACUCGAAGCCGGAAUACUAAACUAGUUACCGUCCACAGUGGAAUCAGCGACUGGGGUGAAGUCGUAACAAGGUAACCGUAGGAGAACCUGCGGUUGGAUCACCUCCUUUCUA